AUUUCUUUAUUGAUUAUCAAUAGAAAUUCUACACCAAUGUAGCAAAAUUAUCUGUUAGUAGCAAGCUGCUAAACAGUUCACAGCUAUACAUCAUCAGUUUGAAAAGAAUAUAGCUGAACCCUCAACAUUCCCCAUAUAUUUUGUGAAGCGUGUGUAUUUUUGAUAUUCAUGGACAACAUAAGUGUUAUCAACAAGGAAUGUAGAUUUGUAACAGAAAAAAAAAUUAUUUUAUAGCAUAUUAAAGCUCUUGGUAUAAUUCUAAGAUAUUCUUGUAUGUCUUCAUCAAACAUUCCACAUCCUUAAGUUUUCACUGUCACUUGAGUAUUUGAAGAAGGUAUUGCUAAGUUUGCUGAGACUUUCAUUUUUCUUCAAAUUUUUAUGAUGUAAUAGUUAGACACAGGCAGCUGAUGUAAUAGUUGGAGGGAUAUGAUAUAACAGUUAAAGACACAGAGGUAUAUGAUGUAAUGGUUAAAAACAGACAGGCAGACGAUGUAAAAGGUAAAGAUGGAUGUUGAUUUUCUGCUCAUGCUAUCGACUUACUUCAUUGGGUCAUGGGCUUUUCAUAUUAGAUUCUAACCUUAAAUUGAUCAGUUUUAUUGGGUAACCUUUGUUGUUGGUAACUACUGUUACAAUUUUUUUCUCCUAUAAGUUUUGUCACUGAAUUUUUUUAUUUUAAUCUAUGAAUGGAAAUGUAAUAAAUUUUUGCUCAUGUACAAAAAGCUGAUGAAAAAUUUACUCUGAUAAAACUUCUCCAUGUGGAAGUGGAAAAGAAUUCUUCCUCUGUAAGCCAUGUGUCAGAAGAGGCAACUAAAAUGCUGGGAGCAAGGGGCUAGUAACCCCUUCUCCUGUAUAAGUUACUAAACCUAAUAAGAAAAACUUUUCUUUUUCUUUUUAGGUCACUCUGCCUUGGUGGGAUAUGGCCGAUGUGUUGAAAAAGAAAUCUCAUAAUAAUAUGGUAUAUUAACUACACACAUUAUCUUACAGCAACAGCAGAGGUAUACAUGGGAGUCAGUUACACUGUAUAAUUUAAAUGCCAUAAGCCUGAUGGAGCAAUAUAUUCACAAGUACCUCAAAUUACAGAAGAGUUACGUACAAGAUACAAACAAGUAGCACUAGUUUUUUGUGCCUGCACGCUAAAAGUGGAGUGAAGAUGUAAUCUAGAGGCUGAUCUGAAUUGUGAUGCUGGUACCCUUCUGGCAAGACAGUGAUUGAAUGGCUUGUAGAAAGCAGCAUCCCUGAGUGGGCUGUCUGCCAAGUGCAAUGCAUAGUUAGUGAUAGCCAGGCUGUAGAAGUCUUCAAUAUCAUCUAGACUAGUAGCCAAGAAAUCCACAGCUCGGUUGAUCACAUUACGCACCUUGGCCGUGGGAGGUCGCUGUGGCAGUUCCAGAGUUGUCUAGAGGUGCUACAAGAGUGCAAGAGACCUAGUAGAGGGGUGCUGCAGCAAAGGCAUACCCUGAGUCAGUGGAGGUGAAGACCCAGGUCUCAGGGAAACGAGUGCGGGCGGCCACUUGCGGAUGCGGC